rnacentral:rRNA from 1 species
CCUACGGGAGACAGCAGUGAGGAAUAUUGGUCAAUGGGCGCGAGCCUGAACCAGCCAAGUCGCGUGAGGGAAGACGGUCCUAUGGAUUGUAAACCUCUUUUGUCGGGGAGCAAAAGACGCCACGCGUGGCGUUCCGAGCGUACCCGAAGAAAAAGCAUCGGCGAACUCCGUGCCAGCAGCCGCGGUAAUACGGAGGAUGCGAGCGUUAUCCGGAUUUAUUGGGUUUAAGGGGUGCGCAGGCGGAAGAUCAAGUCAGCGGGAAAAUUGAGAGGCUCAACCUCUUCGAGCCGUUGAAACUGGUUUUCUUGAGUGAGCGAGAAGUAUGCGGAAGGCGUGGUGUAGCGGUGAAAUGCAUAGAUAUCACGCAGAACUCCGAUUGCGAAGGCAGCAUACCGGCGCUCAACUGACGCUCAUGCACGAAAGUGUGGGUAUCGAACAGGAUUAGAUACCCUUGUAGUC